rnacentral:lncRNA from 10 species
AGCAAGACUCCAUCUCAAAAAAAAAAAAAAAAAGAAAGAAAAAAUAGCACUCUGAUCCACACCCUGCAGCAACCAGCUCUGGAAGCCAAACCAUAGCCUCUGAGGCAUGGGCCCCAAAUCAGGACUUGAUCAAUAACAGCUUUAUCCAAAAUUUUGCUCCCCACUCCCUUUAAUUUAGGACCAACAGGAGAAAGCCAAAUGCUCCCCUCCCCUAUCACACAGGAUGUCCGAGUCUAGUUAUCCUAGGGAUUCCAGUUCACCAGCUUUUCUUUCUCUAAAUCUACUUACGUAUUUCCAACCCUGCUCCUACAGCCAGCUCCACCUGCUGACAAGCCCCCUCUGAAAGUGUUCUAAAGGGGUCACUCAACCCUCACCUCUAGCCUGGUGAUUUGCUAGCAGGAUUCAGCAACAGUAACAAUUACAGACU